GUUGUCCUAUUUGGACCUCUCAUGUCAUACUUCACAAGCAGAGAGGAAAUUAUAAUCAUUGACUGAAGAUCAAGUGAACAUAUUAUGGAUUUAUGGCCCAAGACUCAAGAGCUGCUGCCCCAGUACACCAGAUAUGAUACAGUGCCUGGCAGAAAUUAUACACAUCACCAUCAUGAAAGACAUCAGGCAGCAUAUUAUCCUCCAGAUAGUCGUGACGAGCAGCGGAAUUAUUUCAGAGAGUCCAGCUACU